GGGUUCACUUUAUAGCCAUCAGAUUCAUCCCAUGGUUGAACUGUUAUGCUACAAUCGGGUUGAAAUUACCCAUACCAAAAGAUGCAAUCCGAAAGUGCAAAGCACGCUCUCUCAUCCUGAUUGACCCUCUUUCCUCAAAAGCCACCCACUCUGCAAUAUGUUCUUCUUGUCUCUCUCGCUCUCACCAUCUCUGGUUUAAGGUUAUCAAAGAACCAAACUCCAUUUGGCAAAUAUCUUGCAACCAACACAAACAUAGAGGGUUUUGAGUCUUUUGUUAUUAUUGACACUUUAUCACCCCAAAAGAUUAUUUUUUGACGCCCAACUCCAGUUUGCCAGCCAUCUCCCUACUGUCCAAUCCAAUUCUCCACCCAUCCAUCGUCAUAACCCAGCUCUACUCAAAUUCGGAACCCUAGUUUGACCUAGCCAAGCCGCCGUAACUCACGACCUUCGUUGUCGACCUCCACUGCCAAACCACUAUCGUGACUCCAUAGCCAAUCCACAGUCGCGACCUCCGUCGUCGUUCUCCAAAGCGGGGCAUUCAUGGGCUCCAUUUUUGGCUACGGUCUUCUCUCUCUCUCUCCCUCUCCUUCUCUGCUUUUUUUAUUUAUUUUUAAUCACAGUUGGACCUAGAUUUUUGAGUUAUGGAAGAUUGUUGUCAUUGAGAACUAUCAUCAAUUUGGCGUGGGACAACAUUUCAUUCUGUCAUAGGAAGUGUGCUGUAAUUAUAUGGAAAAAAAACAUGUAACUGAGGAAUUAUAUAUUUUAGUCUUGUAAUUUAGUCCUCAUUCAAUGAAAUUGAGUUCAAUUUACUUGAGAAAUUUCA